GCCGGCGUGGCGGAAUGGCAGACGCGGUGGACUCAAAAUCCACUUCUCGCAAGGGAGUGGGGGUUCAAGUCCCUCCGCCGGCA
rnacentral:tRNA from 1 species